rnacentral:rRNA from 1 species
AGUGAACGCUGGCGGUAGGCCUAACACAUGCAAGUCGAACGGCAGCACAGUAAGAGCUUGCUCUUACGGGUGGCGAGUGGCGGACGGGUGAGGAAUACAUCGGAAUCUACUUUUUCGUGGGGGAUAACGUAGGGAAACUUACGCUAAUACCGCAUACGACCUACGGGUGAAAGCAGGGGAUCUUCGGACCUUGCGCGAUUGAAUGAGCCGAUGUCGGAUUAGCUAGUUGGCGGGGUAAAGGCCCACCAAGGCGACGAUCCGUAGCUGGUCUGAGAGGAUGAUCAGCCACACUGGAACUGAGACACGGUCCAGACUCCUACGGGAGGCAGCAGUGGGGAAUAUUGGACAAUGGGCGCAAGCCUGAUCCAGCCAUACCGCGUGUGCGAAGAAGGCCUUCGGAUUGUAAAGCCCUUUUGUUGGGGAAGAAAAGCAGCAGGUUAAUACCCCGCUGUUCUGACGGUACCCAAAGAAUAAGCACCGGCUAACUUCGUG